rnacentral:rRNA from 1 species
GUAGGUGGCAAGCGUUGUCCGGGAAUUAUUGGGGCGUAAAGCGCGCGCAGGCGGAUCUUUAAGUCUGAUGUGAAAGCCCACGGGCUCAACCGUGGAGGGUCAUUGGAAACUGGAGAACUUGAGUACAGAAGAGGAAAGCGGAAUUCCACGUGUAGCGGUGAAAUGCGUAGAGAUGUGGAGGAACACCAGUGGCGAAGGCGGCUUUCUGGUCUAUAACUGACGCUGAGGCGCGAAAGCGUGGGGAGCAAACAGGAUUAGAUACCCUGGUAGUCCACGCCGUAAACGAUGAGUGCUAAGUGCUAGGGGGUUUCCGCCCCUUAGUGCUGCAGCUAACGCAUUAAGCACUCCGCCUGGGGAGUACGACCGCAAGGUUG